rfam:Acyrthosiphon pisum strain LSR1 Contig41434, whole genome shotgun sequence.
CGACCUCAGAUCAGGCGGGACUACCCGCCGGAUUUAAGCAUAUUAAUAAGCGGAGGAAAAGAAAACAACCGUGAUUCCCUUAGUAGCGGCGAGCGAACCGGGAAAAGCCCAUCGCCGAAUCUCGCCACGCACUUUUGUGUCGCGGCACUUAUGAGAGUUGUGGCGUACGGGCCGGCCUCGUUGCCGGGGCGCACGUGACGGUCCAAGUCUCCCUUGAACGGGGCCAUGGCCCGCAGAUGGUGCCAGGCCAGUGGAGGCCGUCACAGCGUUCCGGGAUCGGACCGCGCCUUCGAGUCGGGUUGCUUGAGAGUGCAGCCCGAAGCGGGUGGUAAACUCCAUCUAAGGCUAAAUACGGCCACGAGACCGAUAGUUUACAAGUACCGUGAGGGAAAGUUGAAAAGAACUUUGAAGAGAGAGUUCAUAAGAACGUGAAACCGCUCGGUUGUAAACGGACAGAGCUCGCGAAUCCCCGCCGGGCGAAUUCACGGUCGGUCUAACCGCCGGCCGGAUCUUUCGCUCGGUUAGCGGACGUCGCGACCCGUUGGGCGCCGGCCGAAUGGCCCGGGUGACGUUCGUCGCGGCGGUCGCGUUUCGGCGUGACCGUUCGCGCCGAGCCCCGGUGCUCAUGGUCGGCUCGCCCGACGGCAAGAAAUGUCGACGCGGCCCCGUCGCAGGCGGGGUCCCGUCGUUCGGCGACGUGUUUCGAGCUACUUUCCGACCCGUCUUGAAACACGGACCAAGGAGUCUAACGUGUGCGCGAGUCAACGGUGAUAUUACGAAAAACCACGUUUGGCGCAAUGAAAGUGAACCGUUUACGGUGCGGACGAUGGCCUAGCGACCGAACCCACCGGCGUUCAAAGUCGCGCUGGUCCGCAGUCCGGGGGCGUCUCCGCCAAGUCGGCUUCGGCCGGCUGGGGGCGCACCCUUAGCGCACUCGUUGGUACCCGAAAGAUGGUGAACUAUGCCUGGCCAGGAUGAAGUCAGGGGAAACCCUGAUGGAGGUCCGCAGCGAUUCUGACGUGCAAAUCGAUCGUCUGAGCUGGGUAUAGGGGCGAAAGACUAAUCGAACCAUCUAGUAGCUGGUUCCAUCCGAAGUUUCCCUCAGGAUAGCUGGCGCCGAUGUGUCCCGCCCGUUCGCGGGCGUACGGACGCCGGUGGGACUCCGCGCUGUACGGCGCGGUAACAACAUGCUCGUAACACGGAGGAUGUCUCAUACGGUAAAGCGAAUGAUUAGAGGACAUUGGGGCCGAAACGACCUCAACCUAUUCUCAAACUAUAAAUGAGUGAGAUCGCCGGCUUUACCUGGUACACCGCGUGAACCGCGUGCGAAGCCGGCGAUGGAACCCUAGGCGCUUAGUGGGCCAUUUUUGGUAAGCAGAACUGGCGCUGCGGGAUGAACCGAACGCCGAGUUAAGGCGCCGAAAUCGACGCGUAUUCAGAGACCAUUAAAGGCGUUGGUUGCUGAUGACAGCAGGACGGUGGCCAUGGAAGUCGGAAUCCGCUAAGGAGUGUGUAACAACUCACCUGCCGAAGCAACUAGCUCUGAAAAUGGAUGGCGCUGGAGCGUCGUGCCUAUACUCGGCCGUCGACGGCAUAGUGGGGCCAGUCGUCGCUCGCGGCGGCCGGUCCCGGCAAGCCUCGACGAGUAGGAUGGCGCAGCGGUGUGCGUCGAAGGGCAGGUCGCGAGACCGCCUGGAGCCGCCGUCGGUGCAGAUCUUGGUGGUAGUAGCAAAUACUCGAGAGGGGCCCUCGGGGGCUGCCGUGGAGAAGGGUUUCUUGUGAACAGCCGUUGUCCAAGAGUCAGUCGAUCCUAAGCCCGGGGAGAGAUCCUCGUACCACGGGCAAAGGCGUUUUCGAAUCGCCCUUGGGGCGAAAGGGAAUCCGGUUCGUAUUCCGGAACCCGACGCGGAACCGCUCCCUAGUGUUCGGGGCUCUUUUGUCUCGUCUGGGUAACCAGAAUGAACUCGAAGAAGCCGCCGGGGGAUCUGGGUAGAGUUCUCUUUUCUCUGUGAGCGUUGUACGUCCCUGGAAUCCUCUAGCCGGGCGAUAGGGACGCGAGCGCGAAGAGCACCGCUCGUUGCGGCGGUGUCCGUGAUCCCCACGCGGACCUUGAAAAUUCGAGAGAGGGCCACGCGGAGUCUUCGCGUCGGUUCGUACCGAUAUCCGCAGCAGGUCUCCGAGGUGAGCAGCCUCUAGCCGCAUAGAAUAAUGUAGGUAAGGGAAGUCGGCAAAAUCGAUCCGUAACUUCGGGAUAAGGAUUGGCUCUGAGGAGCGUGGCGGAUCGGGUUCGGGUCGUCGUAGAAGCGUAGGCGGUGCUGGCAACACCCCGGCCGUCGCCCGUGCGCCUGGUCUUCGGGACCGGGAGCCUCGUGGCGGUUGCGGGCUCUUCGCCAUCCGCCGAUCGUGGAACCACCGAGCUUUGGUUGCUGGCCGUGUCGCGGCUGUGUAGCCGGAUCGACCGCCAUGUAUCGGUCAACUCAGAACUGGCACGGACUAGGGG